UACGUAGGCAGCGAGCGUUGUUCGGAGUUACUGGGCGUAAAGGGUGUGUAGGCGGUUCUUUAAGUUUGGUGUGAAAUCUCCCGGCUCAACCGGGAGGGUGCGCCGAAUACUGAGGGACUAGAGUACGGGAGAGGAAAGUGGAAUUCCUGGUGUAGCGGUGAAAUGCGUAGAUAUCUGGAGGAAUACCGGUGGCGAAGGCGGCAUCCUGGACCGGCAUUGACGCUGAGGAGCGAAAGCCAGGGGAGCAAACGGG
rnacentral:rRNA from 1 species